AGAGGUUUUCUCCAUGGACAAGUGAGCGGUGAAAAGCGGUCUUCGUCCGCCAUCUUCUUUAAACCUCACACAGCGAUAUUCCUCUUAACUUGUGCUUCUUCGACGCAACACAUCUCUUCAUCCUCAUCGUCAUCUGCGCGGGUCGUCAAGCGGUGUGUGUGAUACGUCCUGCGUAUGCAAGACGCGCUCACUAACAGCUUCGACAGACACUCCAACAUAAAGGAAUAUCCGAGAGAAAACCACCGACUGUCGGCCCUGUAAUGAGGUUUAACAUCAAAAGAAAAGUAUCCCAGCAAAUGUCAUCAACUGUCUGGUGUUCUGGAGUCAGGGUCUACGCGAUCGGAUGAACCUCUGUCUCUUCACACUGGCACUAGUAGACUGCGCCUACAUGCUUGCAAUCUUCACGAUACUACCGUUAUCUUAUUUUAUUGAGUGGACAAACGAGUGGAUCUUCAGGAAUUUCUAUAAACAGGCGUUUACAGCUGUGGGAGGCAUCACCUAUUGCCUUCGAUAACAUCCUCCUUCAUCACCAUGGUGAUCGCGGUGGAACGGUGUGUCUGUGUAAUGUUUCCUCUUCGAGCUUCAACACUGAUAAGCACGCACCAUGGGCACACUGAUUGCUUUGACUUCCCUCGGUCUUCAGCUUGGGUACGUCGUCUACCCCAUGUCCUAUUACGGUGAUGUGAUUAUUUUUAAUGGAAGGAGUAGUAGAAUAUUUUUACAGAGCCAGUUU